rnacentral:rRNA from 1 species
AGUCGAGCGAACGGACGAGAAGCUUGCUUCUCUGAUGUUAGCGGCGGACGGGUGAGUAACACGUGGAUAACCUACCUAUAAGACUGGGAUAACUUCGGGAAACCGGAGCUAAUACCGGAUAAUAUUUUGAACCGCAUGGUUCAAAAGUGAAAGACGGUCUUGCUGUCACUUAUAGAUGGAUCCGCGCUGCAUUAGCUAGUUGGUAAGGUAACGGCUUACCAAGGCAACGAUGCAUAGCCGACCUGAGAGGGUGAUCGGCCACACUGGAACUGAGACACGGUCCAGACUCCUACGGGAGGCAGCAGUAGGGAAUCUUCCGCAAUGGGCGAAAGCCUGACGGAGCAACGCCGCGUGAGUGAUGAAGGUCUUCGGAUCGUAAAACUCUGUUAUUAGGGAAGAACAUAUGUGUAAGUAACUGUGCACAUCUUGACGGUACCUAAUCAGAAAGCCACGGCUAACUACGUGCCAGCAGCCGCGGUAAUACGUAGGUGGCAAGCGUUAUCCGGAAUUAUUGGGCGUAAAGCGCGCGUAGGCGGUUUUUUAAGUCUGAUGUGAAAGCCCACGGCUCAACCGUGGAGGGUCAUUGGAAACUGGAAAACUUGAGUGCAGAAGAGGAAAGUGGAAUUCCAUGUGUAGCGGUGAAAUGCGCAGAGAUAUGGAGGAACACCAGUGGCGAAGGCGACUUUCUGGUCUGUAACUGACGCUGAUGUGCGAAAGCGUGGGGAUCAA